UAUCUCUGUAGAGUCUGCAUAUCAAUAAGCGGAGGAAAAGAAACUAACUAGGAUUCCCCUAGUAACGGCGAGUGAAGCGGGAAGAGCUCAAAUUUGAAAUCUUCAAGGUUUGACCUUGACGAAUUGUAGUUUAAAGAAGUGUUUUCUGCUAGAGGAGUUGGUAAAAGUUCUUUGGAAUAGGACAUCAUAGAGGGUGAGAAUCCCGUAUUUGACUAUUCUUUCUAGCUUUGUGAUACACUUUCAAAGAGUCGGAUUGUUUGGGAAUGCAGUCCAAAAUGGGUGGUAAAUUUCAUCUAAAGCUAAAUAUUGGCGAGAGACCGAUAGCGAACAAGUACCGUGAGGGAAAGAUGAAAAGAACUUUGAAAAGAGAGUUAAACAGUACGUGAAAUUGUCAAAAGGGAAGCGUUUGACACCAGUGUUGUUUUUCCGAAAAUCAAUUAAAAAUGGAUUCAUGCUAAGUUGUAUUGACCUUAUCAGCUUGCAAUUUAGUUUUGGGUUUCUUUUUGAUGCACUUUUCGGUUAACAAGUCAACAUCAAUUUCCUUUGCUGUAAAAAGGCAGGAGGAAGGUGGCUUCAAUUUCGGUUGAAGUGUUUAUAGCCUUCUGUCUCUGCAGUCGGGGAGAUUGAGGUCUGCAGGCGUAGAUCCUUCGGGGCUAGAUACAUUCGUGCUAAGUUAUAGCCCUUUAUAGACAACUUGUUGACUAUGAUUGGUCUUGUAAUUUACUCGCGAGUGCUAUUUUACCUACGCUUAGGAUGUUGAUCUACAGAGCGAGAGU
rnacentral:rRNA from 1 species